UGGGGAAUUUUGGACAAUGGGGGAAACCCUGAUCCAGCCAUCCCGCGUGUGCGAUGAAGGCCUUCGGGUUGUAAAGCACUUUUGGCAGGAAAGAAACGUCAUGGGUUAAUACCCCGUGAAACUGACGGUACCUGCAGAAUAAGCACCGGCUAACUACGUGCCAGCAGCCGCGGUACUACGUAGGGUGCAAGCGUUAAUCGGAAUUACUGGGCGUAAAGCGUGCGCAGGCGGUUCGGAAAGAAAGAUGUGAAAUCCCAGAGCUCAACUUUGGAACUGCAUUUUUAACUACCGGGCUAGAGUGUGUCAGAGGGAGGUGGAAUUCCGCGUGUAGCAGUGAAAUGCGUAGAUAUGCGGAGGAACACCGAUGGCGAAGGCAGCCUCCUGGGAUAACACUGACGCUCAUGAACGAAAGCGUGGGGAGCAAACAGG
rnacentral:rRNA from 1 species